CCCGCUGAACUUAAGCAUAUCAAUAAGCGGAGGAAAAAGAAACCAACAGGGAUUGCCCUAGUAACGGCGAGUGAAGCGGCAACAGCUCAAAUUUGAAAUCUGGCUCUUUCAGAGUCCGAGUUGUAAUUUGCAGAGGGCGCUUUGGCGUUGGCAGCGGUCCAAGUUCGGAUUUGGAACAGGACGUCACAGAGGGUGAGAAUCCCGUACGUGGUCGCUAGCCUUCGCCGUGUAAAGCCCCUUCGACGAGUCGAGUUGUUUGGGAAUGCAGCUCUAAAUGGGAGGUAAAUUUCUUCUAAAGCUAAAUACUGGCCAGAGACCGAUAGCGCACAAGUAGAGUGAUCGAAAGAUGAAAAGCACUUUGGAAAGAGAGUCAAAUAGCACGUGAAAUUGUUGAAAGGGAAGCGCUUGCAGCCAGACUUGCCUGUAGUUGCUUAUCUGGACUUUUGUCCAGUGCACUCUUCUGCGGGCAGGCCAGCAUCAGUUUGGGCGGUUGGAUAAAGGUCUCUGUCAUGUACCUCCUUUCGGGGAGGCCUUAUAGGGGAGACGACAUGCAACCAGCCUGGACUGAGGUCCGCGCAUCUGCUAGGAUGCUGGCGUAAUGGCUGUAAGCGGCCCGUCUUGAAACACGGACCAAAGGAGUCUAACAUCUAUGCGAGUGUUUGGGUGUCAAGCCCAGACGCGUAAUGAAAGUGAACGGAGGUGGGAACCUUUUAGGUGCACCAUCGACCGAUCCUGAUGUCUUCGGAAGGAUUUGAGUAAGAGCAUAGCUGUUGGGACCCGAAACACGAUGGUGAACUAUGCUUGAAUAGGGUGAAGCCAGAGGAAACUCUGGUGGAGGCUCGCAGCGGUUCUGACGUGCAAAUCGAUCGUCAAAUUUGGGCAUAGGGGCGAAAGACUAAUCGAACUAUCUAGUAGCUGGUUCCUGCCGAAGUUUCCCUCAGGAUAGCAGUAACGUAUUCAGUUUUAUGAGGUAAAGCGAAUGAUUAGAGGCCUGGGGGUUGAAACAACCUUCACCUAUUCUCAAACUUUAAAUAUGUAAGAAGUCCUUGUUACUUGAUUGAACGUGGACACUUGAAUGUACCGUUACUAGUGGGCCAUUUUUGGUAAGCAGAACUGGCGAUGCGGGAUGAACCGAACGCGGGGGUUAAGGUGCCCAGAAAUAUACGCUCAUCAGACACCCACAAAAGGUGUUAGUUCAUCUAGACAGCAGGACGGAUGGCCAUGGAAGUCGGAAUCCGCUAAGGAGUGUGUAACAACUCACCUGCCGAAUGAACUAGCCCUGAAAAUGGAUGGCGCUCAAGCGUAUUACCCAUACCCCGCCGCCGGGGCAGAAUUUAUGCCCCGGCGAGUAGGCAGGCGUGGAGGCUCGUGACGAAGCCUUGGGGGUGACCCCGGGUCGAACGGCCUCUAGUGCAGAUCUUGGUGGUAGUAGCAAAUACUCAAAUGAGAACUUUGAGGACUGAAGUGGGGAAAGGUUCCGUGUGAACAGCAGUUGGACACGGGUUAGUCGAUCCUAAGAGAUAGGGUAGUUCCGUUUUAAUGUUGGCGCUUGCGCCACGCCCUCGAAAGGGAAGCCGGUUAACAUUCCGGCACCUGGAUGUAGAUUCUCCGCGGCAACGCAACUGAGAGCGGAGACCUUGGCGGGAGCCCCAAGAAGAGUUCUCUUUUCUUCUUAACGGUCUGUCACCCUGAAAUCGGUUUGUCCGGAGCUAGGGUUCAAUGGCCGGAAGAGCGCUGCACUUUUGUGGCGUUUGGUGCGCUCCCGACGAGCCUUGAAAAUCCGCUUGAAGAAAUAGUUUUUACGCCAGGUCGUACUCAUAACCGCAGCAGGUCUCCAAGGUGAAAAGCCUCUAGUU
rfam:Phaeosphaeria nodorum SN15 scaffold_5, whole genome shotgun sequence.